AGGGGCUUAGGCUUGAGCAAACCAGGGGCCUUCAAAGCCCCAAUCGGAGGUGGGAUUCCUCCAGCCCCUA
rnacentral:tRNA from 1 species